GAGACUAGCAAUCCCAUAAACCGUGGCUCAGUUCAGAUCGUAGGCUGCAACUCGCCUACGUGAAGUAGGAAUCGCUAGUAAUCGCAGGUCAGCAUACUGCGGUGAAUACGUUCCCGGGCCUUGUACACACCGCCCGUCACACCAUGGAAGUUGGCCAUGCCCGAAGUCGUUACUCCAACCCUUGUGGAGGAGGACGCCGAAGGUGGGGCUAAUGACUGGGGUGAAGUCGUAACAAGGUAGCCGUACCGGAAGGUGCGGCUGGAUCACCUCCUAA
rnacentral:rRNA from 1 species